GAAAGAGGAGGAGACUGAAAAUCCGAUUAACACCAGAGAGAGACAUGACUAUGGUGGAUCCUCUGGGGAGCCUCAACAACAUCCUGAUGCUGACGAAGCAGAGAAGAGUCUCUCCAGAUCAGAACAGCAGAUGGACAACGCUAGCCCCUCCUCCCUCCUGGAGUCCCCAUGUCGUGUCUCUCCCAAUAGCACCUUACUGCUGGGUAUGAAGAGGUUGUCUGUGCUGCUGGUGGACUGCAGGAAAACAACAGGGCUGAGUGGAACUGUGAGAGGAGGAGAAGAGAAGAAAGGAUCAGAUUUGACACAUCAAAGUAAGUGCUGUAGUUUAGUUUGAACAAAUACAAUAGAUCUGCCCACUGGUAUCUGUUACCAGGACAACCAGCAGAGUUCUGUUAGUUGACAUGAAGAUGGACUGGUAUCUGUUACCAGGACAACCAGCAGAGUUCUGUUAGUUGACAGGAAGGUGGACUGGUAUCUGUUACCAGGACAACCAGCAGAGUUCUGUUAGUUGACAGGAAGAUGGACUGGUAUCUGUUACCAGGACAACCAGCAGAGUUCUGUUAGUUGACAGGAAGAUAGACUGGUGGAUAUGGAUGUUAUGAAUAUCAUAACACUGAAAAAGGAUUCUGCCAAUGAAAAGAGAGAAACCAAUAGACCAUAUAAAACCUUGAUGAAAGUUAGCUUUAGAGAGAAACCAAUAGACCAUAUAAAACCUUGAUGAAAGU